AGCUCCAAUAGCGUAUAUUAAAGUUGUUGCGGUUAAAAGCUCGUAGUUGGAUUUCUGUCAGGGGCAGCGGGUCAUCACUUCGUGAUUGUAUCUUGCUCGUCUUUGGCAUCCUCCCGGCGAACGUUACUGUGAUUCGUUUCGUGGUGCGGUUAUCGGGACUUUUACUUUGAGGAAAUUAGAGUGUUCACGGCAGGCUUUCGCGAUGAAUACAUUAGCAUGGAAUAAUAAUAUAGGACCUUGGUUCUAUUUUGUUGGUUUCUAGAACUGAGGUAAUGAUUAAUAGGGAUAAUUGGGGGCAUUCGUAUUACACGCGUCAGAGGUGAAAUUCUUAGAUUGCGUUAAGACGAACUACUGCGAAAGCAUUUGCCAAGGAUGUUUUCA
rnacentral:rRNA from 1 species